UUUUAAUUCAAUAGCGGAGGAAAGAAACCAACAGGGAUUACCUCAGUAACGGCGAGUGAAGCGGUAACAGCUCAAAUUUGAAAUCUGGGUCUUUCAGGCUCCGAGUUGUAAUUUGUAGAAGAUGCUUCGGGUGCGGCUCCGGUCUAAGUUCCUUGGAACAGGACGUCAUAGAGGGUGAGAAUCCCGUAUGUGAUCGGUGGCUUGCGCCCAUGUGAAGCUCUUUCGACGAGUCGAGUUGUUUGGGAAUGCAGCUCCAAAUGGGUGGUAUAUUUCAUCUAAAGCUAAAUAUUGGCCAGAGACCGAUAGCGCACAAGUAGAGUGAUCGAAAGAUGAAAAGCACUUUGGAAAGAGAGUUAAACAGUACGUGAAAUUGUUGAAAGGGAAGCGCUUGCAACCAGACUUGCGUGUUGUCGAUCAUCCGGGGUUCUCCCCGGUGCACUCGGCCUCACUCAGGCCAGCAUCGGUUUCGGUGGUUGGAUAAAGGCCUUGGGAAUGUAGCUCCUCUCGGGGAGUGUUAUAGCCCUCGGUGCAAUGCAGCCUACCGGGACCGAGGACCGCGCUUCGGCUAGGAUGCUGGCGUAAUGGUUGUAAGCGACCCGUCUUGAAACACGGACCAAGGAGUCUAACAUCUAUGCGAGUGUUUGGGUGUCAAACCCAUACGCGUAAUGAAAGUGAACGGAGGUGAGAACCCUUAAGGGUGCAUCAUCGACCGAUCCUGAUGUCUUCGGAUGGAUUUGAGUAAGAGCAUAGCUGUUGGGACCCGAAAGAUGGUGAACUAUGCCUGAAUAGGGUGAAGCCAGAGGAAACUCUGGUGGAGGCUCGCAGCGGUUCUGACGUGCAAAUCGAUCGUCAAAUUUGGGUAUAGGGGCGAAAGACAAUCAACCUCUC
rnacentral:rRNA from 1 species